rnacentral:rRNA from 1 species
UAGGAUUCUCUAGUAGCGGCGAGCGAAAAGGGAAAAGUCCAGCACGUAGAAUCGCAAUUGUUAUGAUUGUUGAUUGAUGCCGUGUACAGGUGUGACCAUUAACUCAUAUUAUAAUUAGUAUGUUCAAGUCCUUCUUGAAUGAGGCAAUAUACCCAUAGAGGGUGAUAGGCCCGUAUAACUGCUAUGAUAUAUGAGUGGUUGUUACCUAGGAGUCGUGUUGCUUGAAAGUGCAGCACUAAGCGGGAGGUAAACUCCUUCUAAGACUAAAUAUUGCCAUGAGACCGAUAGCGAACAAGUACCGUGAGGGAAAGUUGAAAAGCACUCUGAAUAGAGAGUCAAAAAGUACGUGAAACUGUCUAGGGUUAAGAAAGCAUGAAGUGUCUAAAUAUCUGAAUGGAGAAAUUCAGUAUCAUAUUGUUGUAAUUAGAUUGUUAAUGAAGCAUAUGGUGUGCACUUUUCUCCUUGUAAGACACUGCGAUCCAUUAGAACCUUGUGUUAAUAAUUACCAUGUUGUGAAUUAUUAUAUCUAUCAAUGGGCCUGGCAUGGAGCUUACAUAUUUAAUGUUAGUACUAUAUAUUGUUAAGGUGAUAUACAGGAAAGCAAUGUAAACUGCUGGUGUCUCGUAUAGAUGUCUGAUGGAUUUUAAGCGAUCACAAUAUGACAUCCUUGUGGUGUAACCAGUAAUGGUUUAUUAUAUUGUGUCGGAUCAGCAGUGUAUUUGUUUAGUAAUCUUCAUGA